AGAGUUUGAUCAUGGCUCAGGACGAACGCUGGCGGCAUGCCUAAUACAUGCAAGUCGAACGAGCUUCCGUUGAAUGACGUGCUUGCACUGAUUUCAACAAUGAAGCGAGUGGCGAACUGGUGAGUAACACGUGGGAAAUCUGCCCAGAAGCAGGGGAUAACACUUGGAAACAGGCGCUAAUACCGUAUAACAACAAAAUCCGCAUGGAUUUUGUUUGAAAGGUGGCUUCGGCUAUCACUUCUGGAUGAUCCCGCGGCGUAUUAGUUAGUUGGUGAGGUAAAGGCCCACCAAGACGAUGAUACGUAGCCGACCUGAGAGGGUAAUCGGCCACAUUGGGACUGAGACACGGCCCAAACUCCUACGGGAGGCAGCAGUAGGGAAUCUUCCACAAUGGACGAAAGUCUGAUGGAGCAAUGCCGCGUGAGUGAAGAAGGGUUUCGGCUCGUAAAACUCUGUUGUUAAAGAAGAACACCUUUGAGAGUAACUGUUCAAGGGUUGACGGUAUUUAACCAGAAAGCCACGGCUAACUACGUGCCAGCAGCCGCGGUAAUACGUAGGUGGCAAGCGUUGUCCGGAUUUAUUGGGCGUAAAGCGAGCGCAGGCGGUUUUUUAAGUCUGAUGUGAAAGCCUUCGGCUUAACCGGAGAAGUGCAUCGGAAACUGGGAGACUUGAGUGCAGAAGAGGACAGUGGAACUCCAUGUGUAGCGGUGGAAUGCGUAGAUAUAUGGAAGAACACCAGUGGCGAAGGCGGCUGUCUAGUCUGCAACUGACGCUGAGGCUCGAAAGCAUGGGUAGCGAACAGGAUUAGAUACCCUGGUAGUCCAUGCCGUAAACGAUGAGUGCUAAGUGUUGGAGGGUUUCCGCCCUUCAGUGCUGCAGCUAACGCAUUAAGCACUCCGCCUGGGGAGUACGACCGCAAGGUUGAAACUCAAAGGAAUUGACGGGGGCCCGCACAAG
rnacentral:rRNA from 2 species